rnacentral:rRNA from 1 species
AACGAACGCUGGCGGCAGGCUUAACACAUGCAAGUCGAGCGCCCCGCAAGGGGAGCGGCAGACGGGUGAGUAACGCGUGGGAACGUACCUUUUGGUUCGGAACAACUCCGGGAAACUGGAGCUAAUACCGGAUAAGCCCUAACGGGGAAAGAUUUAUCGCCGCAAGAUCGGCCCGCGUCUGAUUAGCUAGUUGGUGAGGUAACGGCUCACCAAGGCGACGAUCAGUAGCUGGUCUGAGAGGAUGAUCAGCCACACUGGGACUGAGACACGGCCCAGACUCCUACGGGAGGCAGCAGUGGGGAAUAUUGGACAAUGGGCGCAAGCCUGAUCCAGCCAUGCCGCGUGAGUGAUGAAGGCCUUAGGGUUGUAAAGCUCUUUUGUCCGGGAAGAUAAUGACUGUACCGGAAGAAUAAGCCCCGGCUAACUUCGUG